rnacentral:misc_RNA from 1 species
ACCCAAGCACUUGAUUUUGAAUUCCUGACUGGAGCCACAAUGACAAGACCAGUAGCAGCAUAAGGCUGAGAAAAAUCCACUAUCUUUGUCCGGUUUGUUACAAUUGCAAUGUCUCCAACGGCUGCAUCAAACACAUCUGCUGCCACCAUCCGUAUGAGCUCAUUAUAAUUGGGAUUGAACCGACCAUUCCCAAAAAGCUCAAACCUGUAAGGCACGUCAUAAGGAACUAGUUUCCUUGCUUCAAGGAACACAUCUAUACAAUAUCCCUCGAUUUUGUGGCUCUUGUUUACUUUGGUAGCAAAAUCAACAAAACUAGCUCUGUAUGGCACUCCAAUUCUCAAUGGUCUUUCAUUGUCAGCAAUUACCCAACCACGUGGCCUUUCAAUCUUUCCACCAGGCCAAGUAAUCUUUUGAAGCUUCUGAUCCACACGAGAACUGUUAGUUUGAUCCCCUUGGUGAGUCUCUGGAGGUAAAAGUGAGAAACCUGAGACAUUAGACCAAUAACCAACUAUAUGAAUGGACAUAUGCUCAAUAUUAAUG